GGAAUCCUGCGGCAUCGGUGAAACUACCUUCAACUCCAUCAUGAAGUGUGACGUCGACAUCGCAAGGACCUCUAUGCC
rnacentral:miRNA from 1 species